rnacentral:ncRNA from 1 species
UAAAGUUUUAUUCUGGCUUUAGUAUUAAGUAAAUUUUUUUUAUUACAUGAAAAUUUUUGUGCGGAUAAAUUAUUAUUUAAAUAAUAAUAAUUUAAUUUUUAUUCUCAGUAGAUAGAUUUAAAUAUUAAGGGAACUUAGAUUUAGAAAUAAAUUUUAAUAUUAUCAAAGUUUGUGCCAGCAGCUGCGGUUAUACAAACAAUAUAAUUUAAUAUUUUUAGAAAUAAUUAAUUUAUAUAUAAAAAUAGUUUUAAUUUUAAAUUUUUUAGGUGAAAUUUAAAAAUUUAAUAAAUAACUAAUAUUAGUUAAUGAAGUUGGAAAAUCUAUUAAUUAAACUAGGAUUAGAUACCCUAUUAUUAUAGAUGUAAAGUUAAAUACUAAAUUAGUAUAAGAUAUGGACUUAAAAGUUAAAGAAUUUGGCGGUAUUUUAGUCUAUUCAGAGGAACCUGUCCUAUAAUUGAUGAUCCACGAUUUAUAGUACCAAUAUUUUUAAUUUGUAUAUCGUCGUAAUUUAAAUAUUUUAGGAGAAUAAUAAUAUUUAAAAUUUUUUAUCAAAAAAUAAAUCAGAUCAAGAUGCAGUUUAUAUAUUGGGAAGAGAUGGGUUACAAUAAAUUUAUUUAUGGAUAAGUGAUUGAAAAAUGCUUUGAAAAUGGAUUUGAAAGUAAUUUUAUAUAAAUUUUUAAAAUGAUUUUAGCUCUAAAAUAUGUACAUAUCGCCCGUCGCUUUCAUUAUAAGGUGAAAUAAGUCGUAACAUAGUAGUCUUACUGGAAAGUGUGACUUGAGGGGCG